rnacentral:hammerhead_ribozyme from 1 species
AUCCAGCUGACGAGUUCCAAAUGGGACGAAACGUGCGUCCUGGAU